UAUAUACACAUAUAUAUUUAAAAAACCUGCAUUCUUUUCUUUAAAAGAAAAUACUACUGCAAGAAAAAAGGAAUGCAUUACCUGUAUGUGAUCUCCAAAAUCAUGUGGUAAAACCAGGACUGGUCAAAUUCUUGAUGCCGUACAUUUGAUCUCAUAUAAAUAAGAUAAGCACAAGUUUAUGGUUAGCUGAGUAAAGCUGACCCACUUGAUUAUAUAUACAUUAUAGAUAUAUAUUUAUAUAUUCUGUAUAGAUAUACAUAUAUAAUACACAACAUUCAUACAGUGGAAGCAAAGUUUGAUUAAGUUAUAUUAACUGGGAAUUUGGAUGUGAUGUUGUGUUCCAUUUGGAGGAAAAAUUUCUGUGUUAUUCAGCAGCAUUUGUUAUAAAAGAUGAAGAAAGAAGGUAUUUCAUCAAAACAAGCCAUGAAGGAAUAAGAUGAUGAAGGUUUGAAACAUUUUGAAGAGACAACUAAAUUACAUGCAAUAUAUAUGUAUGUACUUCUGCUGAGUUGUAUUCCUAGUUAAAGCAUUGCAUUAAACAGAGAAUUAUAAUAGUAAAAUUGUGUUUGAAUGUGGUAUUUCUACUUAUUUGUGGUAUUUCUACUUAUCAGUACUGACUGAACUAGUCUGUAAAUAUAAUGGUGAUAGAUGGAGAAAAAUUGUUUUCCUACAGUAGCCACAGGCUGAGAAUGCCUGUAGUAACCAGGAAAAAAAAAUUCUAAGCUUCUUUUCCCUGACUUCCUUGGCAAGUGUGAAGUUCAAGAGAGGUCUGAAGUACAACUUCACCUUUUCUUGUUUUGUCCACAUCUUUGUUCCUCCUUCAGAAAAUGUUACCUUUAACCACAAUGUCCCUAGAGCAUUCUGACAAGGGCCUCCAAUAAAAGCAUUCCUCCAGAUAUUUCUGUCAUCCAAGUAUUGAAAGGGAAUAGGUAAGAUUCUUUUAUAGCUGUCCUGUUAUAUCCAAGCAAAAUAAAUUUCUAACUUUGAGGGGAAAUGACACCACUAACAACCAAAUACUUGUUGAGUUCCCUUUGCCUUAUGAAUGCAAACCUGUCUGCAUGGCAUGCUCAGAAAGCAUCUAGGAGUAGAGAUAAAGAAAUAAGGCGCAUAUUCAGCUUCUCUGGGUCCCAGGACACUGUUCACCACCACUUCAGAAGCAGACAGGGCUCAGAAGCAGCAAAGGGAGUGAGUGGGGUGACUGGAGACCAUGGCUGCCCAGGUAAAUCUAGCUUUUGGAGCACAGUCUAUCAGUUUGACAAGUGAUUGAAGAGGGGGUCUCUUAAGCAUGGUGAGUACAUCAGCUCUGUCAGGGUCAGGAUACUUUUGUCCAGCUGCUACAGAAUGAGAAGAAGCCAUUUUAAUAAAGUAGCCUAUGUUGCCUUCUUUUUCCUAAUUUUUCCUUUCUAAAAUUUGAGGAUCUUCACUGGUUCCACAUUUACAGGACUUUACACCUGCCUCAACCUCUCUGUCAAAGAUUUUCUGCCUCUGCCAUUUGCUCUACUCUUACUUCAGCCCAAGCUCACCUUCAGCCAUUUCACCAUCCAUCUUCACCUGCACCUUUCCACAAUGAAAGCGAGAAAAGCCAGUUUUUCAUCUGCCUUUGUCUCAGAGAAGUCAGAUAAAUUGAUGUGUUAGAGUAGAUUUAUUUACUUGGCCUGUAUUGAAACCCCCUUACACCCUGCAGAGCAGAGACUCUACUGGUAGGUUGUAAGGUGAGAAAAUUUUAAGGAGUUGACCCUGAUGGUCAAAAGAUAUUUGUGAGAAUCACAAUAGAGACACAAACAGGUACCUGAAAUCUUUUCCCAAGACACAGCUAUUUUCAGCAUGCACAUUUCUUAUUUCUUACUAAGAUCCACAUUGUAGAAACAUAUAGCUAAUGCUACCUGUAAAUUCAGAGCACUGAUGCUAAACUUUUGUUUAUCUUCCCACACAUAUUUUGAAAACAUUUUUGUCAGUGCUGUUUCUACACAGAAAAGAUACAUGGAUAUGCCAGAUUACCUACCUGAGCCAUUCACUCAGACUCACAGUUUCACCAUCAGGCUGUGAGCAAAGUUACCUUUUUAUUUAAAAGAGUAGAAUCAUGCUUAGCACAAUAAAAAUUACCACCCCAAUCUUCAAGUACAGCCAGUAAUAUUUGCAGUUAAUGUAAUACUUAAUAAUGUACAUCAUCUCCCCUCUGGAGAGACAUUUUGAGACAAUGGCCACUAGUUCAGAAGUGUCUUUGUUAAGUGCUCCUCUUUGAGGCCAUUUAUUAGGAAAAAUUAGGUAAAGUGUAGAUACCUACUUCACCUUGAGUUCUGGGAGCACCCUAAGAAAAUCAAUACAGGGAAAUGCUGCUAUUUAGUAAAUCCAUUAACACUGUUUCUGGCCUUUUGCCAAGCAUUACAUGCACUGUCUAGACGUGGGAACCCACUUGGCAGCACCAGGAUAUUGACACCUUCUCCAUGGAGCUUGCCAACUUCACUUCUGCCAACACACAGAAUGAGGGAAAAGAAUAAAAUCAGUAAGAAUGAUAUAGAAGGGUUUGAGAGACAAAAAUAUCCUUUUCCUUUUGCUCUCAAUCUUUGUUCUGUCUUGCCACCCUCUCCUUCCUUAUUUUGGUCCUCCUCCCUCUCCCUAUCCCUUUCUUCCUUGCCUGUCUCAUCGGCCUCUCCAGGUUUCUCUGUCUCAUUAACAGCUUGCUAAAGGUGCUAAAUAAACCACUACGGAAUCAAAGCCUUUGGCUUAAAAAUGCAGAGCAAUGUAAGAGGAAAAGAGACAAGAAGGAAUGCCUCAAAGAACUCUGGAGUUAAUUCAUUUAGUUUAGGAACCAAAGAUUUUCCCUGACUCCCCCCAUAAUCACUACUAUCAUUUUGCCUGCAGUUGAAAAACACGUAUAAACAGGGAUGAGCAGAGAUUGUUUAAUCCAUAUGGCACAGGAGCAAUACUCCUAAACAGAAGUAUUGCCAUUGGCAGCUGCACCAAAUCAUUUUCUGGAACUAUAGACACAAUGGAUCUGUGGUUUUGCAAAAUUCAUCCUACUAAAAUGCAACCUAAUAAAAGAAUAGGGGACAAGGUCAAAGUGGUGAAAUCUCUCCAGCACAGAUCUACCUUAGCUCCCAUCACAGGUGGCGUGCAGGGCCAGGAGUGCCAGGAGCAGUGCCAGGAGCCCAAAGGAGCAAGAACUCUGUAAAAGUUGCACUCUUUGGGACAAAUUAAGCUACUCUGGGGUUGUCUGGCCAGUGUUACAUAUCUUUCAACAGGAAGGUUAGGCUUCAGCAUUCCUGCCAGUAGCCAAGAGAUAAGGAUGAGAGGAAAAUUCAGUGUGUACGGGCUUAGUUAUUAAAUUAGUGGAUGUUCAGGAUGUUCCACAGAAAAUAUAAACAAGACAUAUCAAAUAUGGACAUCAAAUCCCAGAUUUUGUUAUGCUUUCUUUCUAAAAUGAAAAACAAAUAAACCAAAAGUUUCCAAGUGUUUUAAUUGCUAUAUUUUCCAUUACAGGGAAAAUAAUUUCCUUGUAUGGAAAAAAAGUCACUAUAAUUUUAUAAAAUGGAGGGUUGAAGUCUUUUGUUCAUGCUGAGAAGACAUAACAACUAGACAACUACAAAAUAAUGGUUCGGAGCUUUCUCGUGAAACUUUUUUCCUGCUAUAAAAUGCUGAUUUGUUCUCUUUUUUUCCUUUGUGGGGAGGUGGGGUGGGUAAUGCAAGAGAAGACUGAGGGAAGACCUCACUGCAGUUAUAACUUCCUCAUAAGGGGAAGAGGAGGUGCAGACACUUUGCUCUGCGGUGAGCAGUGAGAAGACCUGAGGGAAUGGCCUGAAGUUGUGUCAGAGAAGGUGUAGGCCGGAUAUCAGGAAAAUAUUCUUCUUCCAGGGGGUGGUCAGACACUGGAACAGGCUCCUCAGGGAGGUGGUCAGAGCACCAGCCUCACAGAGCUCAAGAAGCUUUUAAACAAUGCUCUUGGGCACAUGGUGUGACUCUUAGGGAUGGUGCUGUGCAAGGUCAGGAGUUGGACCCAGUGAUCCUUGAGGGUCCCUUCCAACUCAGCUUAUUCUGUGAAUCUGUGAUUUCAAAGGAACUCCUGGAUUUGAUAUGCUCUAAGAAAAAAGGGGGAUAAGUUUUAUGGCUUAUGCACAGCCUUGAGCAGUGGCCAACCAGAGACAUGCAUCAGGCUAGAGCAAGCAUAAGCAGGUUUCCAUAGCAUUCCACGGAGAACAGGAAUGACAAUGAUUUUUGUUCUGGGCAUGCUUGGGUCAGAAUCCAGAGCACACAAUCAGCAUGAUUAUGCUUUUAGGAACACUUAUAGAGGUGCUCCUGGGACCCUGCAAAGAGGAAUAUAUACUUUAAAAGAUACAUGAUAAAAAAAUGUGUUAAUUCCUUGGCAGACACAGUUCAGAGUGGAAAGGGCUGAAAAGUGAAAGUCAAUGGUGUUUGCAGAGAAUUGUGAAGCCACAGGAAGAAAUGAAGUUGAGGCAUGUCAUGCUUCAUCUGCCAAAAGUAGGGCACCCUCCUAGGGGCAAUGUAGAAACAUAAUUUUCCCUUAUUUAAGGAGCCUUAUUUAAAUGGGUUGAAGGCCUCUUUGGACACAGUUUUUCUGCCUAUACUGAUGAUAGGGAGAGCCAGGGUGACAGGCUCAGACAACCUUCUUUUGAACAGCUACAGUCAGAAGAGAUGCUUCUUAGUCCCAGUGUGCACAGCCCCAGGGUUUCAUAGGUUUUGUAGAUGGAGUUGUAACUAUAAUUAUAAUAACUGGAGUUAUGCUGGGAAAAAAUGAGACAAGAAGUAGAGAUGGGAGGAAAGACGAGAAAUCCAUUUUGCAAAGCUGCAAACUGUAUGGGGAGAAAAUAAAGUUGAUUGGUUCUUAUGCCUUUGCUCAGUACUCAGGAGUGUCUUUUAUCCUGGGAGAGCAUUUGAUCCUUACAGAGCAACUGUUCUGUCCAGUUUUGCAUGCCUUUGAACACAGGAGAGACACCUUUGAGCUAAGUUUCCUGAGGGCACAGGAGAGCAGCCUUCUUUCCUUAUCCUGGGUGCAAUGGUCGUGCCUGGCACGGACCUGCCCUUCUCAUCCCUCUCAAAGGCUCUCCAUGAGAAGAGAACAAAGCAAUAAGGCAGAGAGCUCCAGUCUGGUGCAGUGCAAGCUGGAAAGGGCAGAGGAGGGGCUCUGUUAACAGGAUCUGACAUCCCCAUCACGUUUUCUCCUCUCCAUCACUCCCUAUUAGCAUGCACCCCAUUGAAGGUGCCAGGAAAGCCACUUCACAAUAACAUCACCCCACGUGAAUACUAACCUGGAAUGAGAGGAGCCUUGCAAAGGGGAACUGAGAACAUGAUUGCAAAGGCCCAAUGUGACAAUUACCCAAAGGGCAAGGAAGGGACAGGCAGUAGUUUACAUGCACUUUUUCCAUUUCCUUCCACUCCUCCCUUAUGCAAACUUAUUGCAUUUUGUACAGAAGCAAAAAAUAAAAUAAGUGAUUUGGAUUCAAUUCCCUACAAGUCACUGCUCUUCCUGUUAUGCUGGACACAGCAUGGAUGGAUGGAUAAGCAUGUGAUGGAUAAGCAAUAAAUAUAAUGAAUAAAAAAAUACACCCUUGGCUGUAAAUUUGCCAGGAGAAGCCUUGAGAAUCUGGUUUAAAGUAAUUUCCAUUGCACACCCUGUCUCCUGCUCUACUGCCUUUUGCCCAUUGUUCCAGGAAACCUCCUCCAAGGGGCUUUCUUUCUAUUAGGUUAUGGACCUAAUCAUGAAACAAUAAUUCCUCAGGCUCCAGACGGUGCUGAUUACCUUCUAAUGAGAUAAAGUACCCCUCAUCUCUAGGUCAGUGCCUUGAAACCACCUCUAGUUUCUCCAUGGCUAGGAGUGAUCCCAACCUGUUGAUAACAAAAUAUGUUAAUGGUGGUGGAUACUGCUGCCCCAAAGCAAAGUACUUAAAGGAAGAACCUAGAUGAAAUGUUGAAUUUAGGGAAGGAGCAUUAUGAGUUUUAUCUUUAAUUUCUGCUGUUUUUAAUCAGGUCAGUAGCUUAUCUGAAAAUAAAUUCAAAAUUAAUCUUCAACUCAGAGCAAAUACAUCCCAGUGACCAUUUGUGAAGACAUCUCACUGAUAAAUUUGCCAGUAAAUUAUUCUAGAGGGAAAGUGGCAAGGGGAGGGAGGGGUGUAGUAUUAUACCUGUAGUGACAUAAGCAUCAGAAAAGCAAUUAAAAACUAGAAAUGAAAAAUUCAGUAAAAUUAAAAUUUAAUUUAGUACAAUUACAUAAUUUAUUCUUUGAUUAUGUCAUGGUUUUGCAUGAUUAUUAUAUGCAUUUCUAAAUGAUGCUGUAACAAAUAAUGAAAUUCAUUAAAUCCAUGCACCAUAUAACAUAAAAUAUUGAAAGCCAUUUUCAUGAUUUUUCAUUUCAUCAAAAGUUGUAGAAACAAGCUUUUGUUCCAAGAUAGUUUAAACAAAAUAAUAAUUUCCUAUUUUUCUAUGAGUUGGAAAACUGUAUUUCAAUGUCCCUACUAUUUGUGUGUCUGCCUCAUGAGCAAAUACAGAGAUGUACAACUGAAAAACCUGAAGGCCAGGAUGAUGACAUAGUAAAUAUCACAAAAUCAGGCACAAGA
ensembl:lncRNA